rnacentral:lncRNA from 1 species
UAAAUCAAUUUCCCUCUCUAGAAUUGCUAAUCCAUUUUCCCUCUAUGCAGAUCUCCACCAAGGUUAAUGGAGCACAUAACUAUCGCACCAAUGGGGGCCACCACCAGCGGCGUUCUCUCUCUAUCUUCCUUUGUCCACUUCACCACCAUCGCUGACUGUUAACCACCGUAUGCUGCUGCAAUCCGACGUCCCAGUGCCCUUGCCCCUAUACGAUUUGCCAGCCUGGUCCAAAUUUUGUGAUUGGAUUCUUCUGGUGCUUGUUCUCUGUAGAUAUGGCUGAUGACUGCUGGCUUGCUACAUGCAAGGAUAACAUGAAUUGUGAUAUAACGUCUCCAUACUGUGGUGAAAACCGUAUUAUGGGGGAUUAUGCAUUUUUUAACACAAGUUGCAAACCUCUUCAACCAUCUUAAAUAACUCUGGUAGUAAGCAUUUUAUUAUUUUUCAAUCAGUUAGCUCGCUUGGUCAAAACCUCAAGACAAGUACCUACUUAUGGGAUUUUUGAACAGGUAUUAUUCUAGUUUCUUCUUCUAGGCAACAUGUAAGUGGGAAAUGUUUGUAUAUCUUGCAUACUCAUUAUGUUAUUGAACUAUUUAUGCACAUAUUUUAUUUUGAUUGUUUUGGUUGGUGCAACAUAGAUAUCUUCACUCAAUGACAUUAAGAGUAGAAAUGAGGGUAAAAAGGAGGGAUGCAGAGGUAUGGAUGUCCCACAAGAUGCUUCCUGAAGAUCUGAAGGAAGGUGUGACACUCUAUGAACAAAAGAAAACAGGAAGUCAAUGAAGAAUCUCUUGUUCACAAGCUGCCCGAGGACUUAUGGAAGGACAUAAAGUUCAAUGGACAAUACAACCGGCAACCAAACUGCCAAAUUGUUCAUGUAAAAUAACAUCAGGCAUAUAUAAUAAUAUCUCAUACUGCUCCAAGUAUAGAAAAAAACCCACAAAUCAGUAGCAUCACAAGGCUGUUUGGAAGGUUUUAUUAUCAAACCCAGCAACCUAUUCCUUAUAUUGCCUUUUCCAUUGUAAUUGACCCGUUUAUUUUUAUUUUGAUUACAUUGUAAUAUUGAGUUUGGACAUAUGUUAAUAUAUAAGGGUAUCUUUUGCAUUUU